rnacentral:rRNA from 1 species
CCUACGGGUGGCAGCAGUGGGGAAUAUUGGGCAAUGGGCGCAAGCCUGACCCAGCAACGCCGCGUGAAGGAAGAAGGCUUUCGGGAUGUAAAACUCUUUUAGGAGGGAAGAGAAGAAGACUGUAUGUCUUGAAAAAGCCGCGGCUAACUACGUGCCAGCAGCCGCGGUAAUACGGAGGGGGACAGUGAUAUGCGGAUUUACUGGGUGAAAAGGGCGUGUAGCCGGGAAGACAAGUGAGAUGUGAAAUGCCGCGGCUCAACCGCGGAACUGCAUUUGAAACUGUUUGUCUUGAGUGCCGGAGAGGUAAGCGGAAUGCCUGGUGUAGCGGUGAAAUGCGUAGAUAUAAGGAAGAACACCAGUGGCGAAGGCGGCUGACUGGACUGUAACUGACGUUGAGGCUCGAAAGCGUGGGGAGCAAACAGGAUUAGAUACCCUUGUAGUC